GAAAUGCGAUAAGUAAUGUGAAUUGCAGAAUUCAGUGAAUCAUCGAAUCUUUGAACGGACCUUGCGCUCCUUGGUAUUCCUUGGAGCAUGCCUGUUUGAGUAUCAUGAAAUCUUCAAAGUAAAUCUUUUGUUAACUCAAUUGGUUUCUACUUUGGUAUUGGAGGUCUUUGCAGCUUCACACCUGCUCCUCUUUGUUCAUUAGCUGGAUCUCAGUGUUAUGCUUGGUUCCACUCGGCGUGAUAAGUUAUCUAUCGCUGAGGACACUGUAAAAGGUGGCCAAGGUAAAUGCAGAUGAACCGCUUCUAAUAGUCCAUUGACUUGGACAAUACUUUUAUGAUCUGAUCUCAAAUCAGGUAGGACUACCCGCUGAGCUUAAGC
rnacentral:misc_RNA from 1 species